rnacentral:rRNA from 1 species
UACGGAGGAUGCGAGCGUUAUCCGGAUUUAUUGGGUUUAAAGGGUGCGUAGGCGGGCAUUUAAGCCGGCGGUCAAAUGUCGGGGCUCAACCCCGGCCUGCCGUCGGAACUGGGUGCCUUGAGUGGGCGAGAAGUAUGCGGAAUGCGUGGUGUAGCGGUGAAAUGCAUAGAUAUUAGGAGGAACAUCAGUGGCGAAGGCGACUUUCUGGACUGCAACUGACACUGAGGCACGAAAGCGUGGGGAUCGAACAGG